GGCAACCUGGCCGAGUGGUCUAAGGCGCUAGAUUUAGGCACGCUUAUCUCUAGUCUUUCGGGGCGUGAGUUCGAAUCUCACGGUUGUCA
rfam:Cylindrobasidium torrendii FP15055 ss-10 unplaced genomic scaffold CYLTOscaffold_283, whole genome shotgun sequence.